rnacentral:rRNA from 1 species
AGAGUUUGAUCCUGGCUCAGAGUGAACGCUAGCGGCGUGGUUAAGACAUGCAAGUCGAGCGAUGAAGUCCCUUCGGGGAUGGAAUAGCGGCAAACGGGUGCGUAACACGUGAGCAACCUGCCUUGAAGUGGGGGAUAGCCCGGGGAAACCCGGAUUAAUACCGCAUGUGGUGCCUUCUCGCAUGAGAAGUGGACCAAAGCUUGUAAAGGCGCUUCAAGAGGGGCUCGCGGCCUAUCAGCUUGUUGGUGAGGUAAAGGCUCACCAAGGCGAAGACGGGUAGCUGGUCUGAGAGGAUGAUCAGCCACACUGGGACUGAGAUACGGCCCAGACACCUACGGGUGGCAGCAGUUUCGAAUCAUUCACAAUGGGGGAAACCCUGAUGGUGCAACGCCGCGUGGAGGAUGAAGGCCUUCGGGUUGUAAACUCCUGUCACCAGGGAACAAACAGUCGGUUCGUAGCCGGCUCUGAGUUAACCUGGAGAGGAAGAGGUGGCUAACUCCGUGCCAGCAGCCGCGGUAAUACGGAGACCUCAAGCGUUACUCGGAUUCACUGGGCGUAAAGAGUAUGUAGGCUGUCUGGUAUGUCAGGUGUGAAAGCCCGGGGCUCAACCUCGGAAUUGCGCCUGAAACUACCGGGCUCGAGGCCUGGAGAGGGGAGUGGAAUUCCUGGUGUAGCGGUGAAAUGCGUAGAUAUCAGGAGGAACACCAAUGGCGAAGGCAGCUCCCUGGACAGGUUCUGACGCUGAGAUACGAAAGCGUGGGUAGCGAAAGGGAUUAGAUACCCCUGUAGUCCACGCCGUAAACGUUGUACACUAGGUUUCGGAGGGCCUACCCCUUCGGAGCUCCAGCUAACGCGUUAAGUGUA